rnacentral:rRNA from 1 species
GAUGAACGCUAGCGGGAGGCUUAACACAUGCAAGUCGAGGGGCAGCAUGGAGUAGCAAUACUCUGAUGGCGACCGGCAGACGGGUGAGUAACGCGUAUGUAACCUACCCUGUACAGGGGGAUAACCCGGAGAAAUUCGGACUAAUACCCCAUAACGAUAUUUGGAGGCAUCUUUGAAUAUUUAAAGUUUCGACGGUACGGGAUGGGCAUGCGUAACAUUAGCUAGUUGGUAGGGUAACGGCCUACCAAGGCUACGAUGUUUAGGGGACCUGAGAGGGUGAUCCCCCACACUGGUACUGAGACACGGACCAGACUCCUACGGGAGGCAG